GAUGAACGCUGGCGGCGUGCCUAAUACAUGCAAGUCGAGCGAACAGAUAAGGAGCUUGCUCCUUUGACGUUAGCGGCGGACGGGUGAGUAACACGUGGGUAACCUACCUAUAAGGCUGGAAUAACUCCGGGAAACCGGGGCUAAUGCCGGAUAACAUGUUGAACCGCAUGGUUCUACAGUGAAAGGCGGCUUUGCUGUCACUUAUAGAUGGACCCGCGCCGUAUUAGCUAGUUGGUGAGGUAACGGCUCACCAAGGCAACGAUACGUAGCCGACCUGAGAGGGUGAUCGGCCACACUGGAACUGAGACACGGUCCAGACUCCUACGGGAGGCAGCAGUAGGGAAUCUUCCGCAAUGGGCGAAAGCCUGACGGAGCUACGCCGCGUGAGUGAUGAAGGUCUUCGGAUCGUAAAACUCUGUUAUUAGGGAAGAACAAAUGCGUAAGUAACUGUGCGCGUCUUGACGGUACCUAAUCAGAAAGCCACGGCUAACUACGUG
rnacentral:rRNA from 1 species